rnacentral:rRNA from 1 species
ANGGUGCGAGCGUUAAUNGGAAUUACUGGGCGUAAAGCGAGUGUAGGUGGCUCAUUAAGUCACAUGUGAAAUCCCCGGGCUUAACCUGGGAACUGCAUGUGAUACUGGUGGUGCUAGAAUAUGUGAGAGGGAAGUAGAAUUCCAGGUGUAGCGGUGAAAUGCGUAGAGAUCUGGAGGAAUACCGAUGGCGAAGGCAGCUUCCUGGCAUAAUAUUGACACUGAGAUUCGAAAGCGUGGGUAGCAAACAGGAUUAGAUACCCUGGUAGUCCACGCCGUAAACGAUGUNUACUAGCCGUUGGGGUCCUUGAGACUUUAGUGNCGCANUUAACGCGAUAAGUAGACCGCCUGGGGAGUACGGCCGCANGGUUA